ensembl:lncRNA
AGGAGAGGUUUAUUUUAGCUCCUGGCCCCAAGGCAGGAAAGGCAGAGUGGAAGGGCCUGGGGGUGGGGAGGGGAAGCUGCUCACCUCAUGGCGGCCGGGAGGCAGAGAGGGGGUCAGGUGGCUUUUGAAGGGACCAACCACAGGCUGGAGCACGGUCCUGGCUCAAGCACUGGCAGGAGCUUUCCAGGAGCUUCCGACAGGCUCCAAACAGGUAAGCAGGCACUGGGCCCCACCGCCCCUCCCCGGCCGGCCCUGGCUUCCCCACAUCCUCCCUGUGCAGCAGCAGCCAGGCCAGGCCAGUCCCAGGGACCAGAGCGCCUGGCGGGGGUAGCACCCCGAGGUGCAGGCUUCGUCACCAUCAUCCCCAGCCCCUUCCCACACAGGCCUUGUGCUCCUCCAAGCUGACAGGGCUGAGGCCACCUUGGGGAAGGAGGGGUGACUCCUGGUCCCUCUGACCCUUUCCCCACUGCCUCAGAGCUCCUGGCUGCCUGACUGGCCCCAGAGCUCAGCCCCCACCCCCCAGCCCUGGCCCGCCAGCUCCUCCCCCUCUCUGGACGGCGCUGGUCUCUGAGGGGUGACCCUGGCCACCCACAGGUGCACACAGAGCUGUGUCUGCUUUGGCCUCGGUGGUACCAGGCUGGGAUCGUGGUGUGGGGACAGCAGGGAGGGAGAUGCCAGGAUUUAUAUCCGGCCUGAGUGGGCUGGUGGUGCUUGCCCAGGCCCCUCCCGGGGAAGGGAAUACUUUCCCUUGGUGGGGUCCUGUGACCUGGAGGGUAGAGCCCCUUCCCGAGGAGCCCCCAGUUGCCAGCAGCAAACCAGAGGGCUGGCCUGGCCCAGCAGGGCUCCAGGAGCUCAAGGGUCGUGGAUCCCCACUCCCAUCCUCCCUGUACCCCAACUGUGGCACUGGAUAGCUGCUGCCUCCAGCCCCUGAGACCCCUUUUCCUCAUCAGCUCCUGCCAAAUGGACCAACUUGAAAGCCUAGCCUCAGCCUAGGAAGCCCUGAGAAUGCUGCCUUAUUUCUGUGGGUUUUCUGGCCUAUCUCUGAGCUCAGUUCUCCACUGCCCUGGUGCCAAGCCACUGUCCUCCCAACUGGCCUGUUGUGGACAGGCUUGGGGAAGGGGCCUGGAAGCCAGGGCCACCUGCACAGCCUGCCGGGACACCUGUCCCCACUAACCUGAGGCCACCACAAGGAGAGCUCCUCUCCUCCUGCCUAGCCCACUAGCCACCCUGCUGCCUCCCUGAGCUCCAGCUUUCUCUUCUUGUUAAACAUUCUGAAGUACAUAUGUGCAUGGCUAGCUAUGCCUGAUUUUGUCUUGUUGUUUGGGUUUUCGAGGCAGGGUCUUGCUAUGUACUCCAGUGGCCUUGAACUACGUAGCCCUAGGCUGGCCUCAAACUCAUGGCGAUCCUCCUGUCUCAGCCUCCUGAGAGCUGGGAUUACAGGCCUGUGGCCCCGUGCCUGGCUUGCCUGGCUUGGAGUUGCAGGGGACAGGGCAUCACUGUGUGUCUUCAAAGACUAGCUCUACUUGGCCUUGAGUCACUAGGCAGCGCCACAGUGGUGGUGUGCAGUUGUGGUCACAGUGGAUUUCUGUGUGACUAAGAACCCAUCUCCCCUUUGGUGACAAGCACAGAGCCGUGUCUGGUCCGAUGUUUUCCCCGGAGAGCUGCUGGGACAUCUGAGCACAUUCACCCUUGUUCUUGGGGCCCAGGAAGGUGCCUGCUCUGCGAGGGGCACCCCGAGGGCUUCAACCUCAGGACGGCGUGGGACAGUUCUCGGGGUUUAACCUGCUGUGCCCCGUUCCCACGGGUCUGGGGGGCCACUGUUGGUCUUUCUUUUUCUUUUUAUGUAAUUACACUGUCUGUCUUAAGCAUUGCAAAUAGCCCUCUUCAGUUAGUGGCUUUGUCUUUCAAAUUUCCUCAAGGUGGUUUGGGUAAACCUGUUUUUUGCUGUUGUUCUUGAGCCAGGGUUUUGCCAUGUAGCCCAGGCCGGCCGCACACUUGCUGUGGUCCUCCUGCCUCAGCCAUGACAGGGUCCCAAAGCUGGGCUGGCCAUGAGGAUGCAGCCUGGCUGGCCCUGCAAGGUGGGAGCUGUCAGAGGUAGGAAGGUUCAGCCCUGUCUUCGGGCCCAUGGCCAGCAGGAGCGCAGCCUGGGAAGCAGCUGGACACAGACAGUGGACGCCCCGGGCAGUGCCCAUGUCAGUGCAUGGUGCCAUGGAUAAGACCUGAGCUCCUCUGGCCCUUUCGCCGCUCCCUCCACUGCAACAUCUGCAGACAGAUAGGAUUCGUCAGGGACAGACACGCACGGCCAGGCUGAGUGUGGGCAGGGUCUUCCUGAAGGGGCUGUUGCCGACCGGAAGCCACAGCCCGGCCUGGCCAGACAGUCCUGGGACGCGAUCCAACCUGUCUGGGCUGCAGCACAGCCCAGAGCAGCUCUGCCUCACCUGAGGCCUUGGAGACAGGGAUAGCCCCGGGCGGCA